CAAUAGUGUAUAUUAAUUCUGCUGCGGUUAAAAAGCUCGUAGUUGGAUCUCGGCGGGCUGGGGGCGGUUCGUUCUUCGACGCUACUGCCCCUCUUUGCCCGCGAAUGUUGGGCGGAGGUGCGCGGGUGCUCUUGAUCGAGUGUCCGUGUGCGCCGCCAGGUUUACUUUGAAAAAAUUAGAGUGCUCAGGGCAGGCUUGACACGCUUGAAUAGCCGUGCAUGGAAUGAUGGAAUAGGACGUCGUUUCUAUUUUGUUGGUUUGCGCAAAGAGGUAAUGAUUAAUAGGGACAGUUGGGGGUAUUCGUAUUCCAUUGUCAGAGGUGAAAUUCUUGGAUUUCUGGAAGACGAACUACUGCGAAAGCAUUUACCAAGGAUGUUUUCAUUAAUCAAGAACGAAAGUUAGGGGAU
rnacentral:rRNA from 1 species